UACGUAGGGUCCGAGCGUUGUCCGGAAUUACUGGGCGUAAAGAGCUCGUAGGUGGUUUGUCGCGUUGUUCGUGAAAACUCACAGCUUAACUGUGGGCGUGCGGGCGAUACGGGCAGACUUGAGUACUGCAGGGGAGACUGGAAUUCCUGGUGUAGCGGUGGAAUGCGCAGAUAUCAGGAGGAACACCGGUGGCGAAGGCGGAUCUCUGGGCCAUAACUGACGCUGAGGAGCGAAAGCAUGGGGAGCGAACAGG
rnacentral:rRNA from 1 species